UGAACGCUAGCUACAGGCUUAACACAUGCAAGUCGAGGGGCAGCAUUUUAGUUUGCUUGCAAACUAAAGAUGGCGACCGGCGCACGGGUGAGUAACACGUAUCCAACCUGCCGAUAACUCGGGGAUAGCCUUUCGAAAGAAAGAUUAAUAUCCGAUAGUAUAUUAAAACCGCAUGGUUUUACUAUUAAAGAAUUUCGGUUAUCGAUGGGGAUGCGUUCCAUUAGUUUGUUGGCGGGGUAACGGCCCACCAAGACAACGAUGGAUAGGGGUUCUGAGAGGAAGGUCCCCCACAUUGGAACUGAGACACGGUCCAAACUCCUACGGGAGGCAGCAGUGAGGAAUAUUGGUCAAUGGACGAGAGUCUGAACCAGCCAAGUAGCGUGAAGGAUGACUGCCCUAUGGGUUGUAAACUUCUUUUAUAUGGGAAUAAAGUAUUCCACGUGUGGGAUUUUGUAUGUACCAUAUGAAUAAGGAUCGGCUAACUCCGUGCCAGCAGCCGCGGUAAUACGGAGGAUCCGAGCGUUAUCCGGAUUUAUUGGGUUUAAAGGGAGCGUAGGUGGAUUGUUAAGUCAGUUGUGAAAGUUUGCGGCUCAACCGUAAAAUUGCAGUUGAAACUGGCAGUCUUGAGUACAGUAGAGGUGGGCGGAAUUCGUGGUGUAGCGGUGAAAUGCUUAGAUAUCACGAAGAACUCCGAUUGCGAAGGCAGCUCACUAGACUGCAACUGACACUGAUGCUCGAAAGUGUGGGUAUCAAACAGGAUUAGAUACCCUGGUAGUCCACACAGUAAACGAUGAAUACUCGCUGUUUGCGAUAUACAGUAAGCGGCCAAGCGAAAGCAUUAAGUAUUCCACCUGGGGAGUACGCCGGCAACGGUGAAACUCAAAGGAAUUGACGGGGGCCCGCACAAGCGGAGGAACAUGUGGUUUAAUUCGAUGAUACGCGAGGAACCUUACCCGGGCUUAAAUUGCAUUUGAAUAAUCUGGAAACAGGUUAGCCGCAAGGCAAAUGUGAAGGUGCUGCAUGGUUGUCGUCAGCUCGUGCCGUGAGGUGUCGGCUUAAGUGCCAUAACGAGCGCAACCCUUAUCUUUAGUUACUAACAGGUCAUGCUGAGGACUCUAGAGAGACUGCCGUCGUAAGAUGUGAGGAAGGUGGGGAUGACGUCAAAUCAGCACGGCCCUUACGUCCGGGGCUACACACGUGUUACAAUGGGGGGUACAGAAGGCAGCUACCUGGCGACAGGAUGCUAAUCCCAAAAACCUCUCUCAGUUCGGAUCGAAGUCUGCAACCCGACUUCGUGAAGCUGGAUUCGCUAGUAAUCGCGCAUCAGCCAUGGCGCGGUGAAUACGUUCCCGGGCCUUGUACACACCGCCCGUCAAGCCAUGAAAGCCGGGGGUACCUGAAGUACGUAACCGCAAGGAGCGUCCUAGGGUAAAACUGGUAAUUGGGGCU
rnacentral:rRNA from 1 species